rnacentral:tRNA from 2 species
GCAGAUGUGGUGGAAUUGGUAGACACGCUAGCUUCAGGUGCUAGUGCCUUCACCGGCGUGGGAGUUCGAGUCUCCCCAUCUGCACCA